AGCGAACGCUGGCGGCAGGCUUAACACAUGCAAGUCGAGCGGGCACUUUCGGGUGUCAGCGGCGGACGGGUGAGUAACGCGUGGGAACGUGCCCUCUGGUUCGGAAUAACUCAGGGAAACUUGAGCUAAUACCGGAUACGCCCUUUUGGGGAAAGGCUUGCUGCCGGAGGAUCGGCCCGCGUCUGAUUAGCUAGUUGGUGAGGUAACGGCUCACCAAGGCGACGAUCAGUAGCUGGUCUGAGAGGAUGAUCAGCCACACUGGGACUGAGACACGGCCCAGACUCCUACGGGAGGCAGCAGUGGGGAAUAUUGGACAAUGGGCGCAAGCCUGAUCCAGCCAUGCCGCGUGAGUGAUGAAGGCCUUAGGGUUGUAAAGCUCUUUUAUCCGGGACGAUAAUGACGGUACCGGAGGAAUAAGCCCCGGCUAACUUCGGG
rnacentral:rRNA from 1 species